UAAUACCAGCACCCCGAGUGGUCGGGACGAUUAUUGGGCCUAAAGCAUCCGUAGCUUGUCCUGCAAGUCUUCCGUUAAAUCCACCUGCUCAACAGAUGGGCUGCGGAGGAUACUACAGGGCUAGGAGGCGGGAGAGGCAAGCGGUACUCAGUGGGUAGGGGUAAAAUCCUCUGAUCCACUGAAGACCACCAGUGGCGAAGGCGG
rnacentral:rRNA from 1 species